rnacentral:rRNA from 1 species
AUUGAACGCUGGCGGCAGGCCUAACACAUGCAAGUCGAGCGGAUGAAGGGAGCUUGCUCCUGGAUUCAGCGGCGGACGGGUGAGUAAUGCCUAGGAAUCUGCCUGGUAGUGGGGGAUAACGUCCGGAAACGGGCGCUAAUACCGCAUACGUCCUGAGGGAGAAAGUGGGGGAUCUUCGGACCUCACGCUAUCAGAUGAGCCUAGGUCGGAUUAGCUAGUUGGUGGGGUAAAGGCCUACCAAGGCGACGAUCCGUAACUGGUCCGAGAGGAUGAUCAGUCACACUGGAACUGAGACACGGUCCAGACUCCUAAGGGAGGGAGCAGUGGGGAAUAUUGGACAAUGGGCGAAAGCCUGAUCCAGCCAGGCCGCGUGUGUGAAGAAGGUCUUCGGAUUGUAAAGCACUUUAAGUUGGGAGGAAGGGCAGUAAGUUAAUACCUUGCUGUUUUGACGUUACCAACAGAAUAAGCACCGGCUAACUUCGUG